rnacentral:rRNA from 1 species
UGGGGAAUAUUGCACAAUGGAGGGAACUCUGAUGCAGCGACGCCGCGUGAGUGAUGAAGGAAUUCGUUUCGUAAAACUCUGUUCUAUGGGAAGAAAAGGACUGUACCAUAGGAGAAAGCUCCGGCUAAAUACGUGCCAGCAGCCGCGGUAAUACGUAUGGAGCGAGCGUUGUCCGGAAUUAUUGGGCGUAAAGGGUGCGCAGGCGGCUUUACAAGUUGGAUGUGAAAUAUUGUGGCUCAACCACAAACGUGCAUCCAAAACUGCAAAGCUUGAGUUAAGGAGAGGUAAGUGGAAUUCCUGGUGUAGCGGUGGAAUGCGUAGAUAUCAGGAGGAAUACCGGCGGCGAAGGCGACUUACUGGACUUAAACUGACGCUCAGGCACGAAAGCGUGGGGAGCAAACAGG